AUGUCUUUAUCAAUACUUGACUGCAGUGUUUUAUUGCUUUCCUUCCCAGAGGAGCCCAAUGUCAGCCUUUCACAGAACUGUAGUGGGGAAGUGAGGAUAGAUGGCGUUCCAGUGUGUGCUAGUAACUGGGAUCUAUCCUAUGCACACAAAGUUUGCCAAGAAAAGCUUUGUGGCAAUGCUGUCUUCAUUAAACCCAAAGCUCCAUCAAAGGGUUCAGGUAACAUUUACCAUGUCAGCUGUGAAAAGUACCAUUCCAUCAUUGGCCAGUGCAGGAGGACUAAAGGAAAGUGUGACACAAAUGUGGUGUUCAUUACUUGUAGUGAAAGUGUAAAGUUCCGCACCACUGAAAAGGAGAAACCAUGAAUCCAUCAAUUAAUUACUUGUUUUUGACAGAAAGACACUUUUUGUAUUCUGUAAAUCUGAGCUGACUUACUUUGGUCAGUGUGAUACAGAUAAAUUAUGACUGAAACUCACUGUGACUGAAUCCAGAAAAAAUAAUAAACUGACUGUGUUUGAUUUCAGACUAUGAAAAACAUCCCUCUAUAUCCAUAGCACCUAUUAUCAUGGGUGUGAGACUUCUUGUUGUGGUGAUCUUGACUUUUGUAUUUGUACGAUUCUGUGUCAAGAGAGCGAGGAGGUCCAGAGCUUCAUGUGAGUAUAUUUAUUACAUGACGUAUACACAUGGCUUGUCUCACUUUUAAUUGAAAACCUUAAAAAGUGUAAAAAUCCUGAUUGAACAUGAGAUCAUCCUUUAUAUUCCAAGUUUAAAACCAAAAAGGGUGUUGCAGACUUUUUGCCACAAGAGGGCAGUCUAUACAGCCAUUUCAAAUAACACCAUCACUGCUGCUGACUGAGCAAGCAGCACAUGAGCUCAACCAAACACUGCUUGAUUGAAAAUGUAAAUACAGAACUGGAAAAAUUAACCACACCUGUUCUUGUGUUGUGUUUUUCCUGCUCUUGUGCACCUUGUUACCUCACUGGUACAUUAGCACAGUGCACUGGUGAGACAGCUGUUGUUAUGUACUGUAUGAGUAAAUGUGUAAUGCUGUAACCUUUCAGCAAGAAUGCUGCCAGGGAAAGAACUGGAGUUUCAAGGUGGGGAACAUGAAGAUGUCACUGACAAAGAAAAUGAGAUGGAAGACUUCAGUUGUGGUGGUGAGUCAUUAAGUCUUUCAUUCGUUUUAUAUUGUCUUUUUCCCCCUAAACAAAUAUUUAGCUUAGUGUCAUUUACACACUGUACAUCAUUAAGAUCACUAUUUUAGUUU
rnacentral:lncRNA from 1 species